rnacentral:rRNA from 1 species
GAUGAACGCUGACAGAAUGCUUAACACAUGCAAGUCAACUUGAACUUCGGUUUGGGUGGCGGACGGGUGAGUAACGCGUAAAGAACUUGCCUCACAGAUAGGGACAACAUUUGGAAACGAAUGCUAAUACCUGAUAUUAUGAUUAUAUGGCAUCGUAUAAUUAUGAAAGCUAUAUGCGCUGUGAGAGAGCUUUGCGUCCCAUUAGCUAGUUGGAGAGGUAACGGCUCACCAAGGCGAUGAUGGGUAGCCGGCCUGAGAGGGUGAUCGGCCACAAGGGGACUGAGACACGGCCCUUACUCCUACGGGAGGCAGCAGUGGGGAAUAUUGGACAAUGGACCAAGAGUCUGAUCCAGCAAUUCUGUGUGCACGAUGAAGUUUUUCGGAAUGUAAAGUGCUUUCAGUUGGGAAGAAAAAAAUGACGGUACCAACAGAAGAAGUGACGGCUAAAUACGUGCCAGCCGCCGCAGUAAUAC